GACGAACGCUGGCGGCGUGCUUAACACAUGCAAGUCGAACGGAAAGGCCCUGCUUGCCGGGUACUCGAGUGGCGAACGGGUGAGUAACACGUGGGUGAUCUGCCCUGCACUUCGGGAUAAGCCUGGGAAACUGGGUCUAAUACCGGAUAGGAGCCAUUUUUAGUGUGAUGGUUGGAAAGUUUUUUCGGUGUAGGAUGAGCUCGCGGCCUAUCAGCUUGUUGGUGGGGUAAUGGCCUACCAAGGCGGCGACGGGUAGCCGGCCUGAGAGGGUGGACGGCCACAGUGGGACUGAGAUACGGCCCAGACUCCUACGGGAGGCAGCAGUGGGGAAUAUUGCACAAGGGGCGCAAGCCUGAUGCAGCGACGCCGCGUGGGGGAUGACGGCCUUCGGGUUGUAAACUCCUUUCGCUAGGGACGAAGCUUUUUGUGACGGUACCUAGAUAAGAAGCACCGGCUAACUACGUG
rnacentral:rRNA from 1 species